rnacentral:pre_miRNA from 1 species
AACCGUGUGGCCUACUGGUAGCGUGUUUGAUUCACUACCGGUCGGUCACCGGUUCU